AUGAACACAGAGAAGUUAAAAAGGUUCCUAACUGGGUUGGUGGUAGGAUUAGGCAUAGCGGCCUUGAUUCUCUCCGCCAAUGCCACAAGGCCCGAGAAGCCGGAGGAUAUCAGGUUGAACGAGAGGGGUGAAUGCGUGUACCCCAUGAGCCUGUCUUUCGUGGUGGGUUUGGCCGAGCUGGCUGUCCUUGUGGGCUGCGUCUCGUAUUUCACCUUCAAACAAGGAUGCUGCUGCGUGCGCCGCGACGGCGUCUCUGAAUGGAGCUUCGCGCUGGGCAUCUUCUUCGCUAUCAUCGCAUGGUUAUUGACGUUGUGGGCGGUACGACUAUAUCUCGUCGACGUGGAGGCGAUCUGGCCGGGGAGGCGUGGUAAACCCCCGGAGUGUUACGCCUCUCUUAAGACGGAUCACCAUCGCCUUAUGGAGAAAGCAUUCAGACCCUUCAUCUUUGCCAUCCUCUUUGCAAUCGGCUCCUCCAAGAAACUUUCCCCCCCUCCUCCUGUAGAAACCCAGCUAGCUAGCUAG
rnacentral:rRNA from 1 species